rnacentral:lncRNA from 1 species
AGGCUGGGGGUCAAAUCAGAGCUGCAGGUAAAUCAACACAAAACCUUACCACAUGCUCCAUCAACCACUGGAAUAGAAAUGAAACAAAUUCUGCUUGCUCUAUAACUAGCAGUCCCUUUUUAAGUCACUCUUUUUGGUCUUCUCCAUACCCCUUAAUCUGCAUGUCCCUAUUAAAAAAUAAGUUUUCUUGUGGAUUUCUGGACCUUUGGGCAGCAUUAUAGGAAACCUGAUUGUUAAUAAGUUACCUUGACACGAGAAGAAUGAAAUCUCACUUUGUUUCACUGCACUCUAGAUGUAAAACAUCUCUAAGGAGAGGUCACAGCCCUUGGCUCCCACAUACACUCUGGUGACUUGAACUAUUCCUUUGGGCAUACGACUCAACUCUGUUUCUUUAAUUCAGUCUCUGUAUAAUUCCAGUUCCCAAAUUUCUAACUGCUUAUCAAAUAUUUCCCCUUGAAACAUCUAAUUCCAAUUCACUAGAAAUCAUCUCAGAAACAGCUUGUGCUUUUUUCCCCCCACAAACCAGCUCUUUUCAUGAAACAUCUAUUUCAGAUAAAUCUAUACAUUCUUUGAAGUCUAAAGACGUGGGGUUAUUGCUGAUUUCUCCCAAUGUUUAUCUUCCUCAUUCCCUAAACCACUAUCACCUACAUCCAGUCAGUGACUAAGUCCUUCCAGUUGCAUACCUUAAAUUUAUAUGUUGAGAUGAAGAUCAAUCAACAUUAUAUAAAGCUGUUAGGUAUUCAAUACGAAGUUAACUUCUAUUGUCAUUAUAUCUAACACUUUUAAAUUCUCCUGAUUUUACAUUUGUGCAUUCUAUAACAGCUUUUCUGCUUUGGACUAAAUGUGUAAACACUAAGAAUCAUUUAGGAUUCCACUGAAAUACAUUUACUCUCAUUUACCUUGGAGGCCAGGAGAGUACAGGGCCAUAUCUCUUUCUUCUAGUCUCUGAAGAGCAUGUAUUAUUUCCACUAUUCAUUCAAUCAAGGGUUGCUUUGUGACAUCAUCGUAUUUAAUUGAACAGUUCUUUGUCUCUUACACUGGCACUUUGUUCACACUGUAUUUAUUUUCUUAUCCCAAUUACACAGUGAUUUUCACUAGGACAAGGGAUGGUCUUAUAUCUCUCCAAAAUGCCUAGAAAACUGUAUUUUUAAAGAUGCUUAAAAUCUGUUGUUGAUUUCUUGAUAAUUGCUAAUACUCCAUUCAAUUGUUUUCAGUGGGAUCAAGCUUGUAUAAAAAUAUGCUUGGAUGGUCACAGUCCACUUAUGAUUGCUUAAGUAAAAUCUUUCUUAUCAACUUCUCCAAGGAGGACGAAAGCAUUGAAAAGUGUGUUCCCAUCAUUUACAAAGAUACUCAAGUCCAAUAUGUGAAUAAUUCUAAAAAAGGGGGACCAUAAGACAAUCAUGAAUACAGGCAAGUGGAAUCCCAGAACAAGAUUUAAUCUGAUUCACUAGGAUUAUAACAUCAAGUUCAUGCUUUAUGAAUCUGACAUUGUAAAAUAAAAUAUAACUGCUAUAUCGAGAAAAUAUUUUGAAUUGAUAAUUCAAGACAUUAGGUAUAAGGGUUCUCUUGUGUGUUCUCAGAGGAAAGAAAGGGCAUAUAUAUCCAAAAUAUGCAAGACUGAAUGAUUAGCAGAGAACGGCUAACCACCUCACACCAACCUACCUCUUGAAUGAAACAGAAAAACACAAGUUCAUGGUGCAGGAGCCAAUGUGAUAGCUCUUUCUUGAGGUACACAGGUAAAACAUACUUAAGAUAAUACCACUCUUUAAAUGUCCACAAUAUAGGAAAAGGAUGAAUGAACUAAUGGCGAGAACAUAGUUCUGUUUCUUAGUAAUGUUGGACCAUCUAUGAACAUAGCAAAGGAUUUCUCAUUGUCUGCCCCAUGAUAUCUUUACAUUCUAAAUUCAUGCGGAGGUGCCUACAAUUUAACCAAUGGAAUUCUAUUAUUUGGUCUUCCUGUUAUCCCUUCUGUAGCCAAACUGAUGAAGCUCUGAAGUCAAUGAACGCAAGUGGCUCCUAAUACCUCGACAGAGUAAAGUCCAGAGCUAAGCCCUUAUUCAUUGCCAUCCCCUCUCAGGACCCAAAUCCCAGGUGAUCCAGGGCUUCUACUAAAUGGAACCAGUGCUUCAAAGAAGGAAACACUUGAUUACACACAGACUGUUCUCGCAUGCCUUACUAUUUAAACCAUUUAUUUAUUAAAUGGUCCUCCGCUGGGUUUUAUUUUAAAAGGUUGCUUCCGAACCUGAGUGCUUUAAGUGAACAGCUCUGUUUUUAGCCAAUGACUUUUUCCAACAGCAGGUUAGGUGCUCAGCUUUUUAUUACAGCUGCAAUAGGACUGGAGUUCUACCCCUUUCAAGUCAAAAUAUAUCCUCCUUUAUUUUUCAGAGUAAUUGUAGCCAGUGAGCCAUAUAUUUUCUUUAACUCUCUCUCUCUCUCUGUCACACACACACACACACACACACACACACACACACACACACAGGUUUCCCAGAGCAACUUAGACUAAAAUAAAUUGUUUUGUAAGGAUUUAUUUUGGCACAUCCUAUGGCAUGUCCAUGUGUACAAUCUGGCUGUGACCUUUCAUAAAAACAGCCUGUGUUAAUACUGAUGGCUUCUAUUCCAGUUCUCCUAAGGCACAUUCACUGCAGUGAUAACAGAAUGGGCAGAAAUGUUUCUUUUCAAGGACAUCACUGGUACAACACAGGUGUGGUCAGCUAUUUUCUGAUUGUCCAGUUCCACAGAGAAAACUGAAUCCUUCUUGAAUUCUGACCUGCUCUCCAGCCCAGGAAACAGGCCACUCACUCCCCAGGACACCUAACAAGAGAGCAUUUGACGUCUCCCAUUUGACUUAAGAGGCAAUUUUGCCACUUCAUUUAUGAGAGAAGAAAAAGUGCCACGAAGCAUCUUUAUGAUGGCAGAGACCUCAUGCUGUGAGUUGAUCUUGCCACCCUGAAACUAAUCUGGAAAUAUUUGUACCUUAAUCUCCUGCAGAAAUAAACCUUCUGGAGCUCUUAAGAUGACAUACAGUGAAAUUUGUUCUACAUCAGCUAUUUCUAGGCACGCUGGUAGGAAUCAAAAGAAAAUGCAAAAGCUUAAGUUCUGUCCUUUGGAGAUCAUUUCUUGUUUUAUCUUCUUUCUUUGCAGAAGAUUUUUCUGGUGCUAGUUCAUUAGGGAGAUUCUGUCUCCCCUCCUCUCCUCUCUCUCUUUGUUACUUCCCUUUCUUUGGCCUGAAAUCCUAUCUCACAAUCAAACCUUUCCACCUGGUCUGCAAAGACCUGUUUUGCUUAUCUGAUGAUUAGAAAUUCCCACAUGUAAUUGUAGGCUUUUUACUUAUCCAGGAGAUAAGGCUGGUCACUGAGAGGCCAGUUGGCCACCCCUAUUUAACACCCCAUUGACUUCUAGCAUCCUCGUGUAUCUUAUCAAGAAGAACUACUCCCCACAUCAUUUAACCAGCUGGUGUGUUUAGGCUAAAAAUUAAAAAAAAAAAAAAUGACAUCACUACAGUAGUAUGAGAUGGCAAGGGGCAUGGUGCAAAUGACCCUAAAGUAGGUUGCUACCUACAGGGACUGUGUCCUGCCCUAGUCACCGCCAACACUGAUAGUUAGAUUUAAUGACAUAUGUGCUGUCUCCACAUCGCUGUUUUAAAAUACUUGGAACCACCUGGGCAGUGCCCUUUACUGUCACAACUCAAUUCUACAGAGAUAAAUAUUAGAGUUGCCAAGGUCAGUGACCCUGCCGAAUGGUAUCGCAGACAGCCAGCAAGAGGACGACUCCACUGCCGGCAAGCUAAUUAAGAGUUGAAGGAGGCCUGUGACACCGUGGCACCCGCACAGCCUCCCCCAGCACAGGUUUUUGCCCUUGGCGUUCCAAGAACAAUCUGACAUGUACUCUGGCAGAUGCCACUGUGCUCGCUUCAGCAAAUUUAAGUGACUGUAGCCUUGCCAUUGACUGCCAAUUAAUUUUAAACCAAAUGUCUGGGAGAGGUGAUAUCAGGUAUCCUGAGAAAAUUAUAUGUGACAAAUGUAGAAUAAAUAGUGUCAUGAACGGUGACUAGUCUUAAAAUUCCAAAGUUUACCCUCUAUUGUACUUGUUUCAGGAAAAGGGAAGUGGUGCCAAGUGCUUUGGGGGUUCUCUGUCAACCCUGCUUAUCUUGUCCAAUUCCUUCAUACAGGAAAAAAAAAGUUUUUCUCUUGACUUGUUAUAAAAUAAGGUUAAUAACAUUACACUGAGAAGUUUUGUUGGCAUAGGAAAUUGAUGACUAUGUAAGUAAGCUGAUGGUUUCAUAUUAUAUACACUCAUUUCACUCCAGGAAAUUAAGUAUACAAACAAGCAAUUCGCCACAUGUCUUGAAUCUGGUCCAGAGUACCAGAAGAUAGAUAUAGAAAACUAGGAAACUAAAUAGCAAUACAAAGGUAUGGGUUCAAUUUCUAACUAGGUAAUGACUCAAAAAAAAAAAUCUCCUAAGUCUUGACUUUCUCAUUUGUAAAACAGUGUUAGAAUCUUCAUUAAUAGUUUCAAAAGUUCUGUACUCUCAAAAAAAUUACUAUGAGUGCAAUCAAUAAUUGACAAUACCCGUUUCCCUUCUUACCACUUCUUAUAUCUAUAUACACUCUGUUAAUGGGCAAAUGAACAGAAAUUAAGUAAACAGAGAGUAUAAUUCACUCAUUUAAAGCUUGGACCAAGAACAACAAAAUGUAUGAAAU